rnacentral:rRNA from 1 species
UGGGGAAUAUUGCACAAUGGGCGCAAGCCUGAUGCAGCCAUGCCGCGUGUGUGAAGAAGGCCUUCGGGUUGUAAAGCACUUUCAGCGGGGAGGAAGGCGAUAAGGUUAAUAACCUCAUCGAUUGACGUUACCCGCAGAAGAAGCACCGGCUAACUCCGUGCCAGCAGCCGCGGUAAUACGGAGGGUGCAAGCGUUAAUCGGAAUUACUGGGCGUAAAGCGCACGCAGGCGGUCUGUCAAGUCGGAUGUGAAAUCCCCGGGCUCAACCCGGGAACUGCAUUCGAAACUGGCAGGCUAGAGUCUUGUAGAGGGGGGUAGAAUUCCAGGUGUAGCGGUGAAAUGCGUAGAGAUCUGGAGGAAUACCGGUGGCGAAGGCGGCCCCCUGGACAAAGACUGACGCUCAGGUGCGAAAGCGUGGGGAGCAAACAGG